UACAUAGGUCCCAAGCGUUGUUCGGAUUCACUGGGCGUAAAGGGUGCGUAGGCGGUCGGGUAAGUCUGACGUGAAAUCUUCAAGCUCAACUUGGAAACUGCGUCGGAUACUAUUCGGCUAGAGGAAUGGAGGGGAGACUGGAAUACUUGGUGUAGCAGUGAAAUGCGUAGAUAUCAAGUGGAACACCAGUGGCGAAGGCGAGUCUCUGGACAUUUCCUGACGCUGAGGCACGAAAGCCAGGGGAGCAAACGGG
rnacentral:rRNA from 1 species